GGGACGAAAAGAGCGGAAGGAGGAGACUUUGCUGCGUCUGGUUCCCCCUAACACUAGCGAGGCAGAGAGGGGAAACAGAAGGAAGGGGAGGAAUAAGCCCAAAUUGCGCCACUCGGGCUCCUUCCACUCUUCCUCAUGGCAUAGCCCCUCCUCCUGCGUGUGAAUGGGGAGAAGAGAAAGAAAUCGCCCAUUGGUAAGAGAGGACAGGAAGGGAAAUAGAAGCGACUGUACUUACACAGCCCGCUGGAGCCGGUGCUGGUGAACAUGGUCCCCGGUCGAGCAGAAGGGGCGAAACGGUGGGGACACAACCCCCUGAUGAUAGGCCUCGCCACCACAGUCACUUGCUCCUCCUCUCGAGGAGGCCGCAGCGCCUUUCUCGGCCGCCUCCUCCGGUGAGUCCCCUCAAGAGGCCGAGCCCGGAGCGGCGGCCGGGCCCAGAAGCUGAACACUAAGGCGGCCGGGAUGGGUCAGAGGCGGCGGGACUGGCAGGGCAGGAAGACCCCUGACAGCGCCCCCUGCCGGCGUCGCUACUAUCUCCUCGCAACAAGAGUCGCCUGGAACGAGGGACGCACCAGUCAAAAAUAACAUGUGCCCUCAGAACGCGAUGGAAUAGACGCUUCUCUGGCAGCCUCUCAGCUACAGAAUGCCCCCACUCCCGGCGGUGUUUGUUUGUUUGUUUGUGACCAAUACAUUCCUGCAUGUUAUUGUUCGCAGCCUGACCUUAGCUGUGUUUACUGUCGAUUACGACUUAUGGCGACCCUAUGAAUCAGCAACCUCCAAGAGCAUCUGUCCUGAAUCACCCUGUUCAGAUCUUGUAAGUUCAGGUACAUACAGAGGAUUUGGCUGCGUAUAUUUGCUGUAGUGGUAACCCUUGGACUUCGGUACAGACAAGUAGCAUAUUUUUAGAAGAUCUGAAAAAGAAAUGGUGCUUAGUAACCUCUAUAAACGUUUUCCAUACGAUUCCAAUGUAUUUCUGUUCCCACACAUAAAUACCAUGGGAUGGGUUAGAAUACCUGGUUUAUCAUAACAGCAAGGAUAUACAAGAGGCAGUUGGGGGGCAGUUAACAGCAGUAGAGUGUUUUCUGAGGUAAUCAUCUUCCUAGGUGUUCUGACUUCUCAUACCUGGCCUCCAGCUCCCCGGACCAAUGCCUCUUGUUGAUUUCCCUUAACACCCUAAAACAUGAAGCUGCUGAAGACAUCAAUCCCUGUCAUUGGCCACAAUAGCAGCAAAGUGCUGAUUGUUUUCUGAACUUUUUAAUACUGUUGUGAAGAAGACUUUUUAUUUCCAUGAUAAUGAUUUUUAGCAUGAAUUUCUGUUCAUGCUUGGGGGCUUCCCAUAGGCAUCUGGGUCGCCACGGUGAAAACAGGAUGCUGGACUAGAUUAUUAUUAUUAUUUAUUACAUUCGUAUACCACCCCAUAGCUGAAGCUCUCUGAGCGGUUUACAACAAUUAAAAACAUUAAAAACAAAUAUACAAAUUUAAAAACACUUAAAAAAAACAAUUUAAAAAUACAUCCUAAAAUGCCUGGAAGAAGAGAAGACAAGGGCCUUUGGCAUGAUCCACCAGGACUUUUCUUACAUCAUUAAGAUCUAGUGAUGCUGUGAAUGGGGAAAAAACAAGUGAAUGGAAGGAUGGUAGCACAAAGGAGAGAAAGAUACUUUCUGAACAUGCUUCUAAAUGCUUCCAAAUUUGAUCUUGAAUUCUGCGAGAUGUGCUUCCUAGCAAGUAUGCAUAGAAGUAUUUGCUACUGAGGGAGAGGGGGCAAACCUAACUUUCAAUAAAAUAGAGGAAAAUAUAUAGUGGCAGGGUGGUCAGGUGAAAAAGAGGGCAGGGCUCUUGCACCUUUAACAGUGUAGAAGAGGGAAUGUUGGCAGUUGUAGCUUGUCAUGCAUGCCACUCAAAUUCCUUCUACACAACUAUUAAAGGUGCAGGCACCCUGCCCUCUUGCGUCUGGCCACCCUACUUUGCAGCCUAGUCCAGUAACAGGAAACCAGAUUAUUCAUUGGUGUUUACAAUGAUCCAGUUUAUGAAAACAACAGUUUUAUUUAUCAACAAGAGACAAGGCAACUCUGUAGCUAUUCUAAUCACAUGCCCUGUCUCCAGAAGUGUGCCUCACUCACACAAACACAUGGUCCUCUACCUUGCAGAACUCUCUAACUUUAGAGACGUCUUUUUCAUAAAUAUCUCCCCCUAGAGGUUGCUCCUUGAGAUACAUAAGGAAUACACCAACCUUUUGUUAUAUUUACAGUAUUACUGGGAUACCAAGGGAAACAACCCUAAGCAUAAAUCUAAUCGUUAACAAUUGACAUCUGCUGCCAGAAUAACAUCAAAACAAUUCCCUUUUCCAGUGACACAAUCAACUGGCAGUUUCAUGACAUGACUGCAGAUGUUCAUGAAUGAAUGUUCAGAGGCAUUCAGGAAACAAGCCUGUACUUCUCAGUACAAUGAACCAAGUGGAUAAGGCUUCACAGUGGACUUUUGCCCUAUUUCUGACACUUGUAUAAUCACAGCAGUGAGAAUUCUGUUCUGCUGCUCAUGGUAAUUGUGUUACACUGAAAGUCGGGAAUCAAAUCUCAGUCCUUCAAGCCUUUUGUCUGUUUUUUGCCCUUAAGAGGUGGCCAGAGCUAGAGAUAGCAUAUUGGAAUGGGUGGCUUGUUUCUAACAGAGUUGGAUAAUAUGACUGUGAUUGUGGCUACUACAAUUCUUGAAUCAUUUACUCUAGAACAGCACUAAAUGAUCCCGAGAGGCUGUUCUGGAGUUCAGUAGUUUACACAUUGCAAACUCAGGAUGUUAACAUUAAGAACUUAGAAUACUAACAACUUUCUUAUAAGCUCCAGCCAUAGUUUGUACCUUGCUACUUAUAACUAAGAAAUAUAAAAUACGACUAAAACCAAAUUGCUUGCCAGAACCUGUGAAAAGAGAGUGACUUAAGGAUACUGAGCAGUAAAGCUUCCACAGUUAUUACAAAUUAUUUUGCCUCUUCUCUCAGUGAGGAUAAACCUAAAAUGUGCUUGCAACUAUAACAUCUAGUUUUGGUGAGUUUUGUGUAGCUGUAUCUUAACAUUCAAAAACUGAAAGCAGCCUCAGGAAGCUGCAAGUUUUAGAAGGAUGGAAAGCAGAAGGGUUGCUUAACCUUUCCCACUGGUUGUUUCCUUUCUCAAAAUCCACCUUGCAAGCUGUUUUUUCCUCCCAUGGAGGAAAUGAUACAGGGACCUAUUUUUCUUUCUUGGAGGCAUAGCAGCUGUAGGAAAGGGGGAUUUAUGGGGAAAUGGCCAAAAGGAAUAGAUUCAAACAGUUCCUCCUCUCCCUCUGCUGUUAAAAAAAAUGUCGGGGGAAAGAUAUAUCUGCAUGUAACUGCUCACUUGGUACAGGUAAUUGCAUUUGUUCAUAGAUUCAUAUUUUAUUACCCUUGUAUCUCCCAUCCCUUCUUCCCAUAAUAGCUCCCUACUGUCAACCAUUAGAUUAUAAGUUCCUUGAGACAGAAACCUACCUAAACAAAGCAUCAUGAUGUUCAGAAGAGCAUCUUAGAAGCAACUUUACACCUCUCAAAAUAUAUAGUUGGAGUAGUCUAGUAAGAAAUUUCAUUCAAAUAUAUAAUGUGUGUGCCUGUCUUGUCUCCUAAGUAAGGUUAAAAGUUUUAUAUAUAUACAUUGCAAAUAGUCUUUGUAUGUAGUAAUAUGGUUAUUUUUAUAAUUUGGUGUUAGGUGGUUCACAAAUCAAAUAAGGGCUACUGCAGGAAUUUGGCACAUUUUAGUAGCCAUCUGUAAAACAGCAGACUUCAGCACAAUCUGUGAAUAACCAGUUAAACAACUUAGCAGCAGGGCCCAGCCUUCAUACACACAGUGCAUUGUACUUUCUAAUAAGGAGAAUAUAUAUUUUCUCAUUAAUGAGAUAGGAUAUCACUAAUCUGCUGAACUGACGUAGAAGUCAAAUUCUCUCAAGUAUCUUGAAUGGCUUAGGAUUACCCAUUGCUCUAGUUUUCUUUCUUUUUUUGAUACUAUCUUCAUGGCAAGACAACUUUACUAUGAAUAAAUAGCACCAAAGCACCACCACUUUCUUUUUUGGAACAGAUAGUUUUCAAGUUACACUCUCUAAUUUAGGGGAACAGUUCAAUAACCUUCAGGAUGCAUAUAGAUGUGUGGGGAGGGGGCACACUCACCACUUUGUUGUCACCCAGGUGUAUCAAUUACCUUCUGGGGCUGAGCUCAGGUAUAACCAGUUCUGCUAUGUGGGUCUAGGAGGAAAUGGUUAGUUGUUCUUAAAUGACUGCUAUUAUAAAUUCUGGGAGCAGAUGUUUGGGCAAAGUAGCCUCUCAGCAUAGGGCAUGGAAUGAUUCAGUGCUUCAUCUGUAACCCCUUAACUGUUCUUUUCAGAAACAAGGGUUAAGAUUUCACCAAAAAUGUCAUGCAAUUCUAGUCUUUGAAGGGAAAUUACAUGACAAAGGCUAUACUGUACUAAAUGUCACAUGGAUCAGGAGAAGAGGAAUGAGUGAGCGGCUUAAUAAAAGUCAGUUGCAGAUACAUUCUAGUUAUAUCUUUCAUCUUCCUUGGUUCAUCAUCUGGCGCCAUUGCCUGCACCUCAGCAACAAAGGUCUAAAUUCUGAGGUUGCACGCAUGGAGGUUGCUACUGCUUUGUGGAAAGCCUAGGAUGAGGUCAUGUCAGAAGCUGCUAUGGCUCAAAGUAGGAGCCUUUUGGUUUCUGUGUGUGGGUGCCCCAUGUGGUGAGCCACUGAACUGCAUGUCAACAUAAGAGCCCUGCUGCAUCAGAUUAAAGGCCUUUGAUGUCUACGAGGAACUCACAAGCAGAAUACUGAUGCAAAUCAAUAACAUGCCCCUGCUUAUGUUUCCCAGCAGCUGGGGAAUGGGUGUCUUCCCCUGGGCCUUAAGAACCAAGUGCCUCCCACAGUACCACACCAGUCCAACGGUGCAGGGAAUACACAGGGCAACAGGCCAUGGGACACAGCUGAAGUGGGGAUGGGCAACCUCUUGAAGUUGUUGGACUCCAACUCCCAUCAGCCCCAGCCAGCAUAGCCAAUGGUUAGGAAUCAUAGGAGCUGUAGUCCAUUGGUGUCUGGGAGGCCACAAGUUUCCUAUUCCUGAGGUAAAAAAAAGGUAAAGGUGUCCCCGCACUUUUAAUGUGAGUCGUUUCCGACUCUUAGGGUGAAGAUUUCUUGACCUUUCAGACAGUAAAGCUUAGUAGGCCGAGUGUAAUUUCUUGUCAUGCUGCCAAAACUGUAGGAAGUUUUUGAGCUAUUAAAGACAACACCCUGUGUUUUAUUUUGCUACAUUCAGAUGUGGCA